rnacentral:rRNA from 1 species
GAAACCAACCGGGAUUGCCUUAGUAACGGCGAGUGAAGCGGCAAAAGCUCAAAUUUGAAAUCUGGCGUCUUCGACGUCCGAGUUGUAAUUUGAAGAAGGCGACUUUGUAGCUGGUCCUGUCUAUGUUCCUUGGAACAGGACGUCAUAGAGGGUGAGAAUCCCGUGUGGCGAGGAUCCCAGUUAUUUGUAAAGUGCUUUCGACGAGUCGAGUUGUUUGGGAAUGCAGCUCUAAGUGGGUGGUAAAUUCCAUCUAAAGCUAAAUAUUGGCGAGAGACCGAUAGCGAACAAGUACAGUGAUGGAAAGAUGAAAAGAACUUUGAAAAGAGAGUGAAAAAGUACGUGAAAUUGUUGAAAGGGAAGGGCAUUUGAUCAGACAUGGCGUUUGCUUCGGCUUUCGCUGGGCCAGCAUCAGUUUUAGCGGUUGGAUAAAUCCUCGGGAAUGUGGCUCUGCUUCGGUAGAGUGUUAUAGCCCGU